rnacentral:rRNA from 1 species
AUUGAACGCUGGCGGCAUGCCUUACACAUGCAAGUCGAACGGCAGCACGGGAGCAAUCCUGGUGGCGAGUGGCGAACGAGUGAGUAAUAUAUCGGAACGUGCCCAGUCGUGGGGGAUAACGUAGCGAAAGCUACGCUAAUACCGCAUACGAUCUACGGAUGAAAGCGGGGGAUCGCAAGACCUCGCGCGAUUGGAGGGGCCGAUAUCGGAUUAGGUAGUUGGUGGGGUAAAGGCUCACCAAGCCGACGAUGUGUAGCUGGUCUGAGAGGACGACCAGCCACACUGGGACUGAGACACGGCCCAGACUCCUACGGGAGGCAGCAGUGGGGAAUUUUGGACAAUGGGCGCAAGCCUGAUCCAGCAAUGCCGCGUGCAGGAUGAAGGCCUUCGGGUUGUAAACUGCUUUUGUACGGAACGAAACGGCGAGCUCUAAUACAGUUUGCUAAUGACGGUACCGUAAGAAUAAGCACCGGCUAACUACGUGCCAGCAGCCGCAGUAA